CCUACGGGUGGCAGCAGUGGGGAAUAUUGCACAAUGGGGGAAACCCUGAUGCAGCGACGCCGCGUGAGUGAAGAAGUAAUUCGUUAUGUAAAGCUCUAUCAGCAGGGAAGAAAAUGACGGUACCUGAGUAAGAAGCCCCGGCUAACUACGUGCCCGCAGCCGCGGUAAUACGUAGGGGGCAAGCUUUAUCCGGAUUUAAUGGGUGUAAAGGGAGCGUAGACGGCAGUGAAAGUCUGUGGUGAAAGGCGGGGGUUCAACCCACGGCCUGUCCUGGAAACUGUACGGCUUGAGUGCAGGAGAGGUAAGUGGAAUUCCUAGUGUAGCGGUGAAAUGCGUAGAUAUUAGGAGGAACACCAGUGGCGAAGGCGGCUUACUGGACUGUAACUGACGUUGAGGCUCGAAAGCGUGGGGAGCAAACAGGAUUAGAUACCCCAGUAGUC
rnacentral:rRNA from 1 species